AAAAUAUUUAAUUGAAACAAAGUUAAUAAAUCUGUUUUAAUAGCCCUGGUACACCUUGGAUUUGCUAGUUACCCCGGCCUCGAAAUAAGAAAGUGUCUCCUCGUGUCCACCGAAUGAGCAAUAAAUGUGCGCGUCAUUAUUUUUUUUGGUCUAUUUUAAUAGUGGCAUAGGCUUACUGACAGCUCUAGUGAAUUUUUCGGUUAUUGAAAACAUUUUUUACUCGAUUGUUUAUUAACUUACAGAAUCGGAAAUAAAAAAAAAUCGUCCGAUGAUUGGACGAGCAGUGAUUCCUAGAGGUUAUUCGAGUCGAUGAUUCUCAUUUUCACAUUUAUAUUUGCAUACAAACUAUAAGUAUACAAAUACGAAUAGCAGCCAUGCGAAAAUGAAUUUCCGAAAUCGUAACUGGAUCGAACGAUCCCGCGUCCUUUGCUGCAAUGUAUAUUUUAACGUGAUAAAAAAAAAAAAAAAAAAAAAAA